UCUCCUGGAAACGGGUGGUAAUGCCGGAUGUUCCAGUUGAUCGCAUGGUCUUCUGGGAAAGCUUUCGCGGUAUGGGAUGGGGUCGCGUCCUAUCAGCUUGACGGCGGGGUAACGGCCCACCGUGGCUUCGACGGGUAGCCGGCCUGAGAGGGCGACCGGCCACAUUGGGACUGAGAUACGGCCCAGACUCCUACGGGAGGCAGCAGUGGGGAAUAUUGCACAAUGGGCGCAAGCCUGAUGCAGCGACGCCGCGUGAGGGAUGGAGGCCUUCGGGUUGUAAACCUCUUUUAUCGGGGAGCAAGCGUGAGUGAGUUUACCCGUUGAAUAAGCACCGGCUAACUACGUGCCAGCAGCCGCGGUAAUACGUAGGGUGCAAGCGUUAUCCGGAAUUAUUGGGCGUAAAGGGCUCGUAGGCGGUUCGUCGCGUCCGGUGUGAAAGUCCAUCGCUUAACGGUGGAUCCGCGCCGGGUACGGGCGGGCUUGAGUGCGGUAGGGGAGACUGGAAUUCCCGGUGUAACGGUGGAAUGUGUAGAUAUCG
rnacentral:rRNA from 1 species